rnacentral:rRNA from 1 species
GUGUCAGCAGCCGCGGUAAUACAGAGGUCCCGAGCGUUGUUCGGAUUCACUGGGCGUAAAGGGUGCGUAGGUGGCAUGGUAAGUUUGAUGUGAAAGCUCAGGGCUUAACCCUGAAAUGGCAUUGAAUACUACUGUGCUGGAGGUUUGGAGGGGGGACUGGAAUUCUUGGUGUAGCAGUGAAAUGCGUAGAUAUCAAGAGGAACACCAGUGGCGAAGGCGAGUCCCUGGACAACACCUGACACUGAGGCACGAAAGCUAGGGGAGCAAACAGGAUUAGAUACCCCCGUAGUCC